rnacentral:rRNA from 1 species
UACGUAGGGGGCUAGCGUUAUCCGGAAUUACUGGGCGUAAAGGGUGCGUAGGUGGUUUCUUAAGUCAGAGGUGAAAGGCUACGGCUCAACCGUAGUAAGCCUUUGAAACUGGGAAACUUGAGUGCAGGAGAGGAGAGUGGAAUUCCUAGUGUAGCGGUGAAAUGCGUAGAUAUUAGGAGGAACACCAGUUGCGAAGGCGGCUCUCUGGACUGUAACUGACACUGAGGCAC